AGACAUGAGAUUUAUGUCAAAACCAUGGUCGACCAAAGCAACUAUUGGUUCUUCUAUAUCUCCUAACUUCACCAAUACCUCAGUAGUUGCUCUUGCCCAAUGCUUUCAAGUAUAAUGGCUCAAAGUUUCCAUUUCCUUGUCACUAGAAUCUUCAAAACAUAUUCGUUGAUUAUACCCAUUCUUUUCAUUUGUUGGUUGCUUGUAACCAAUAUCAACCUCUUCUUCAUCUUUAUAUAUUCUUGC
rnacentral:lncRNA from 1 species